UACUGUGAAGCAUCCUCGUUAAGUCAGGCAACGAGCGAGACCCACGCCAACAGUUGCCAGCUCGUCCUCCCGGGGAUGGUGGGGACACUGUUGGGACCGCCUCUGCUAAAGAGGAGGAAGGAAUGGGCAACGGUAGGUCAGCAUGCCCCGAAUUAUCUGGGCUACACGCGGGCUACAAUGGGUGGGACAAUGGGUAUCGACACCGAAAGGUGAAGGCAAUCUCCUAAACCCAUCCGUAGUUCGGAUUGUGGGCUGCAACUCGCCCACAUGAAGCUGGAAUCUGUAGUAAUCGUGUCUCAAAAUGGCACGGUGAAUAUGUCCCUGCUCCUU
rnacentral:rRNA from 1 species